rnacentral:tRNA from 1 species
GAAGAUAUAGCUCAGUAGGUAGAGCGGUAAGCUGUUAACUUAUUAGUCGGAGGUUCAAGUCCUCCUAUCUUCGCCA